UACGUAGGGCGCAAGCGUUGUCCGGAAUUAUUGGGCGUAAAGAGCUCGUAGGCGGUCUGUCGCGUCGGAUGUGAAAACCCAGGGCUCAACCCUGGGCCUGCAUUCGAUACGGGCAGACUAGAGUUCGGUAGGGGAGACUGGAAUUCCUGGUGUAGCGGUGAAAUGCGCAGAUAUCAGGAGGAACACCGGUGGCGAAGGCGGAUCUCUGGGCCAUUACUGACGCUGAGGAGCGAAAGCGUGGGGAGCGAACAGG
rnacentral:rRNA from 1 species